UCCAAUAAAUUAAGGCAUUUCUGUCAGGAAGACUAAAAAAUACAUGCCUGUUUGUUUUAGCCAGCAAGUUCACUGCUCCCAAUUCUCUGUAGUUUUCACUACAAGUCAUGGAUGAGACGUUAAAGUAGCUGGAAGAGGAGCUUGUAGGUGGCAGUGAGAACGGAAGUAUUAGCUGGUGGCGGCCGGAAGGACAAGAGAGACAUCAGAGAAACAAGCCGCUAGGUCUGAGACCUGCUGAGAUCUGCCUGGCUCCCGAGCUGUCAGCUCUGGCCGCGUCUAAGGAAGCUCGGGGGCGUGAACGAAGUAUGUGCGAGAGGGGCUUUUCUACAUGCCUGCCAGAGCCCGGUUAGGUCAGGGAAUUUUGUUCUAAACUGAGGUAUAAGUGACAACAUUAUAUUGGUUUCAUGUGUACAACAUAAAGAUUCAACAUUUGUAUAUAUUGCAAUAUGAUGACCACAGUAAGUCUAGUUAACAUCCAUCAAAAUAUGUAGUUAAAAUUUUUUUCCUGUGAUGAGAAAUUUUAAGACCUAUUCUCUUAGCAACUUUUAAAUAUGGAUUUUAGUAUUAUGAUUGUCCCAGUGCUGUACAUGAUAUCCCAAUGGCUUAUUUAUUUUUUACCUGGAAGUUUGCACCUUUUGGCCCCUCUUCACCCAUGUAUCU